GCCACUGCUAUUGGGGUUCGGCUAAGCCAUGCGAGUGGAGGGCGUCCCGCAAGGGAUGGCCCCGCGGACGGCUCAGUAACACGUCGUCAACCCACCUUAGGGUGGGGGACAACCUCGGGAAACUGAGGAUAAUCCCCCAUAGGCGGGGGAGGCUGGAAUGCGCCCCCGCUGAAAGCUCAGGCGCCCUAGGACGGGACGGCGGCCUAAUCAGGUAGUUGGUGGUGUGACG
rnacentral:rRNA from 1 species